GUCUGGGCCCUGAGCGGAAAUGAACAGCAAGCCCCUCGCCAUGCUGACCGCGCUUCCCUGCGUGUUUUACUUCAUCAUGAAGUCUAAAUUUGGUGCUGAGGUGCCCAUCUAAGCUUACCCACUUGUCAGGAAGGUAUCCAGGGCUGAAACGACUUGGGAACUUGAUAAAAUCAAUUAAGACUGUACAUAGAUGGAAAAAAAAACAAACUCCACAGUGAUUAGAAACAAAGGAUGGUCAGUGAAUCAUUGUUUCUGGCUGACCUCUGCUAGCCAGGCAAACCCGUGAGGAUGUCCGUGACCCCGCUGUGGAGGAGAAAACAGUCACUGUUCGCACUCACCCUUCCCUGCCUUCCUCCACCGAAGUCCCGGUCAGCAGCACCACCAGAUCCCUGGGGUCCCAAAUGCCUCGCUUCUGAGAUUAACCCUACUGACUGCAGUUGGAACAAGAGUUGGUUAUUGGAGUAGCUGGAAGCUAACUGCAGUUGAAUAACAGAACUAACAGAGCUUCAGAAUCACGGUGUGCCGCCACCGCCGGGUCCCUUUAAGCAAAAAAUCAUGUUGCAGAACACCAGGAAACUUUCAAUGCGAUUUAAACUUUAAGAGCAUU